AAAUAGAUUGUCCUAAAUAAGCCUGAUGGCAUGCAGAAGUUGGUUAAUCUCUCCCCGUGAAGAAAUCGGUUCGCAGGUAUCGACUUGGGUCUGUUGUAUGUUUGAAGGUGUCCAUAUAAAGAGGUGUCUUUCAUCAUGCACCUGUUGUAGCCAUAGUAUCCGUGCAUACGUCAAGCAAUAUCAAAUCAUCAUUGAUCUAUUUGCACCAUAAUUAUUUUUGUUCUGUAGAUCUUAGUGUUUGCUGAGCAGAAAAAUCUCUCAUUGGUGUUUCCCUUUCCCGUGUUUCCCUUUGCUGAUGUAGCUUUUGGUAC